rnacentral:rRNA from 1 species
CCAUACAAGAGACCCAAAUUAACUGUCCACCCGGCGUAAAGAGUGGCAAGAUGUUAUCCUCCCAGCUAGAAUCAAAAUGCAACUAAGCUGUCAUAAGCUCAAGAUGCACCCAAACCCACCCCUAAAGAUUCUAGCACUUACGAUCAAUUUCAACCCACGAAAGCUAGGGCACAAACUGGGAUUAGAUACCCCACUAUGCCUAGCCCUAAAUCUAGAUACUUCCUCCACCAAAGUAUUCGCCCGAGAACUACGAGCACAAACGCUUAAAACUCUAAGGACUUGGCGGUGUCCCAAACCCACCUAGAGGAGCCUGUUCUAUAACCGAUAACCCACGAUGCACCCAACCACCCCUCGCCAACACAGCCUACAUACCGCCGUCGCCAGCUCACCUCCCUUAAGAGCCCCACAGUGAGCCCAAUAGUCCUCUUUCCACUAGCAAGACAGGUCAAGGUAUAGCCCAUGGGGUGGAAGAAAUGGGCUACAUUUCCUAAGAUAGAACACACGGAAUAGGAGCGUGAAACCGCCCCUAGAAGGAGGAUUUAGCAGUAAAGCUGAACAAUAGAGUCAGCUUUAAACCGGCUCUGGGACACGUACAUACCGCCCGUCACCCUCUUCACAGGCCCACCCACCCACAUAAAUAAUCAACCCCCCAAUAAGCCAAAGACGAGGUAAGUCGUAACAA